UACUCAAACAAAGGGGCUGUUGAUGCCUUCAAGGACCACAUCAACCACAAAAAUGCUACGGUGUUCGAUUCCUAAAACCCUGUUCAGCAGGGAAAAGCUAUACCGGACAGGAUUGGAUCAGCUGAACCCGUUGGAAACAACAAAUAGGUUUUCUACCAUCUUGCCGUACCUGCCGGAUUCAAACUUGCAGAGCUAGUCCCAGCUAGAAAAUUAUGUGUUGAUAGAGCUGAGACAUCUCUGCCGGAUUAAAAAAAAACGUUUUGUUGGAUUUUAUGAACCUGGCCCAGAAUGUUUUACAUACUGACUAAAAGGCGGGGAACGUGCGUCUGGAGCCUGGAGUUUUCUUCUGCAUUGAAGUGAUUGGAUAAUCUGCGCUGUUGAUUUGUGCAAUAGAGAGAUGAUGGUGUCAAAAAUUCCGAAUAAAAUUGUGUGUUAACUUGA